CAGCAGCCACGGUAAUACGAAGGGUGCAAGCGUUAAUCGGAAUUACUGGGCGUAAAGCGCGCGUAGGUGGUGGUUUAAGUCCGUUGUGAAAGCCCUGGGCUCAACCUGGGAAUUGCAGUGGAUACUGGGUCACUAGAGUGUGGUAGAGGAUAGUGGAAUUUCCGGUGUAGCAGUGAAAUGCGUAGAGAUCGGAAGGAACAUCUGUGGCGAAGGCGACUAUCUGGGCCAACACUGACACUGAGGCACGAAAGCGUGGGGAGCAAACAGGAUUAGAUACCCGUGUAGUCCCUGUCUCUUAUAC
rnacentral:rRNA from 1 species